CUUUCCUUUGAGUUCUGGGAGGAACUCUCUCCAAGCUUGCAUCUUUUUCCUUUACAAAUUGGAAUUUUUCCAGAUUCUUGAAAUAAUUUAGUCUUUUUUUUUUUUUUUUGGAUCACGCAGGACAGAAGUAUCCCAGUUUCCUCAGACUUUCUCUGGGAAUUUCCACAUAUUUAUCGGCAAUUAGACAACCAUUAUUGUCCCAUUUGUUUUUAUUAUUAUUUUUUUUUUUGGGUUGCAUUUCCUUUAAUUAGAGUCAUGUUGUAGUUCCUAGUUGCCUAUUAGAGUGUUUGGAAAUGACUUCAGGUUAUGAACUGCAAUGUGCUCAUGCUCGUCCGGCCAUUGUUUAUAGCAAUUAUCCUGUGCAUGGUCACGAGGGGUGCAGGCGGGGGUCACCCAGGACGGCUCAAACUCAGUCGAUCACAAGGCUGUCACAGAGAGAGACGGAUUGCUCGCCGCUACGCUGUCGUGUCACCUUCUUGCUCUCGGGCCACUCCGUGAACUACUGCGCCAAUGUGACGCCCAUGUGAGACUUUAAUUGCAAGUAAAUUGAGGACAGCCUUUGAACCACGGGGAAACUUCGAUGGCUUCCUUUGAAUGGAUGCCGCAGUCAAGUCUCUCUGGAUUUGCUCGUGCUGCUGUGAUGCUAUCGGCGUGCCAAAAGAUUAACAGCGAUGCUUCUCCACCAAAACAAAAUCCAUUACCAUGGAAACGACGCUCGAGAUCAUUAAAAGACCGCCGAAAGGAGAGACACUGACGAACAUCGGUAACGAUCUGGGCUUCAGUCAGUCCACCAUGGUGACAAUUAUUAAAGACAAAAUGGAGAGGCGACUUACGUUCCGGAUUGAGGACCAGAUUCCUUUGCAAUCGCUAGCGCAGCCUCCCCUUCUCCUUCUCCAUCCACCUUCUCAGCAGUAAUGAAAACGCUGCGGUUCCAGUUCCUGUUUGGGGCGCCGGCUUGCCUAGCAACCCCUUCACUCCGUCCGGCGCGGCGGAACCGUCAAAUGGGGAAACUUCUCGACGCGUACGGCACGCUCAUGCACACUUUCAUCGUCGCACUUUCCGUAUCCGGCAUGAAUGAGCUGUAGCGUGUGCGGGUUUGAACAGUGAACAACCCAGCCGGCGCGGAGUAACCCCAAAAACAGGAGAAGAGCAUUUAGUGCACGGCAAGAAUGAGAAGCUUGGCACA